GCGAACAAGGAGAGGGGCAAAUUAGGAAUUACAAGGAGAUUAACGUUAAUGUUGUUUAAUUUUUGGUCGGUUACUUUUGGCGUAAACAAGGGGGACGCUCUUCAAAGGGUGAAAGUCAUCAUUCUUUCGUCCCUUUCAUUAAUGACAAGGAACAAAAGCUAUUUUUUCCAGUCCAGUCCGCCACUUCCGUUUCCUUUUACAGCCUACAGGGGUACUUUCGGAAACUCACCUUUUUCAAUGUCCUCAACCCAACGGUAACGUCUACAACUUAAAAUCCUGUCACGGGAGGUAACGGAACUUUUUCCUUCCAUCUAUCCUAACUCAGCUGCGUCCACACGU
rnacentral:misc_RNA from 1 species